UUUGGUCCAUGCUUUUACUUUGUUGACUUAAAAAAUAAUCACAACCUAAAGACCGAGAGUUAUGUUUUAUUUGGUAGGAAUUUUUAGGACUUCAAUCCCAACAGACAGCAUCUCAAGGAAUCCUGAGAGAAUUGCUCUGAGGAGGGGUGGGCAGGAAGUAAGGGGUCAGGUCCUAUAGAAGAAGUGAAGUGAAGUCACUCAGUCGUGUCUGACUCUUUGCGACCCCAUGGACUGUAGCCUAACAGGAUCCUCCGUCCAUGAGAUUUUCCAGGCAAGAGUACUGGAGUGGGUUGCCGUUUCCUUCUCCAGGGGAUCUUCCCGACCCAGGGAUCAAACCCGGGGCUCCUGCGUUGUAGGCAGAUGCUUUACCGUCUGAGCCAGAAGUUUGUAACAGAGGGCUGGUAGCCUGAACAUCAAGAGAUUGUUGUGAAUUAAAGAAGACUAGAUCUCUCAAGUUAAGGGGUUUAGCACCUUUUUAUGUGUGAGAAGAUGCAGCAGUCUGAUCACUGAAAUCAUUGCUUCCAUCAUCUCAGCUGGGAAUAUCUAAGCAGGAGACCUGAAUCUGCUUGCAAUAAAGAAGAAAAAGUUAAAAAAACAAAAAACAGAAAACAUGUGCUGUAGCAAGUUACAGGAUUCUCCAGGCAAGAAGACUGGAGUGGGUUGCCAUGCCCUCCUCCAGGGAUCUUCCCGACCCAGUGAUCGAACCCACACCUCUUGCAUCUCCUGCACUGGCAGGCAGGUUCUUUACCACUAGUGCCAGCUCUGGGAUGCAGUCUCCUUUCUGAAGACAGAGCAACUGCUGGCCUUUGAGGGUUAUACUGCUUCUCAAUGCACUCACCUAACAACACGUUAAAAAUCAUUUCUAUUCAAAGUGUCUACCUACUGCCUCACUUCAGAAAUAAAUCAAUGGAGAAGAGUGUUCUGGUUACCAUGCUGUGUAAGAAACUUCUAAAAGUAGUGGCUUAAAAGGACAAUUGUUUUGUUUAUGUGGGUCAGGAGCUUAUACGAGUGUUGAGGAAGCCUGUCACACAUCCAUGUCCGAAGGUUAUCUCCUCUUGAGAACAGAAUUGGAGUGGGGCAACAAGGGAAAUCAACCCUGAAUAUUCAUCAGAAGGACUGAUGCUGAUGCUGAAGCUCCAGCACUUUGGCCACCUGAUGCAAAGAGCUGACUCAUUGGAAAGACCUUGAUGCUGGGAAAGAUUGAAGGCAGGAGGAGAAGGGGGUGACAGAGGAUGAAAUGGUUGGAUGGCAUCAUCAACUCAGGGGACAUGAGUUUGAGGAAACUCCAGAAGAUAGUGAAGGACACGGAAGCCUGGCAUACUGCGGUUCAUGGGGUCACCAAGAAUUGGACAUGAACAAGAACUGAACAACAACAAAAAUCAGAGGUCCUCGUUGCAGCAGGCAGGAUCUUUCAUUGUGGUGUGUGGACUCUCUAGUCAUGGCCCGUGGACUCAGUAGUUGCAACACACAGGCUUAGUUUCUCUGAGGAACCCCACACUAGGAGAACUUUUGGUCCCACAGAACUUUGGGCCUCUCCUUAUAAACAGCCCAGCAGGGGUCUCACUACUUUGAUUACUUGCGGUCUGCCUGUCUGUCCAGCGUGAAGGACCCAGACAACAGAAGGACUGGCCUUGCUUCUCACUGUGUGUUCUUACCAGACACAAUCUCCAUCAUGACCAUUAACAGCAGCGGGUUAAAAUGUAACCAUUACAAAUCAUCUACGCCAGCGCCUGAGUUGAUGAGUUAGAGGAGAAGAGGACAAACAGGAGAAAUCUAAGGGCAAGGUGAGGUGGGGGUGGGAGACAGCGUCUCCUUUUCCACCCUUUCUCCAAAACCUUCCCUAGUUUUAUUUCCCAUUUGCUCAGCCGCGUGUUCUCACACUCUCCUUUACCUCGAGGGCUGACUGUUGGACGCGCCCAGGAGAAGAACGUGAAGGCCUGCAGAUAAAGCAGGCACUGACACAUCCCAGAGUCCAGGUCACUGGUUUUCUCUGACGGGCUUCGCCAGGCUGGGUGGGAGAAGAGAAGGCCACCCGGAAAGCACGUGGCUCAGUGGGAAUUAUAAGUCAGCUCUGAGCUCCUCCGAGGAUUUAUAUUCAACUGAAGACGUGUCCAAUGCAGGACCUUAUGUUUCUCUGUUUUCUUUCUGCUUACAUGGAAAAAUAACAGUUAAUAUAGCCAACUAUCCCAAGGCAGAAGAGUAUUAUUAAAAAAGAAUACUUUGCAACAUUACUGAUUUCUCAAGACACUGUCAGAUAUUUUAAGAUUUGGAUUUAAUAAACCAUAAUAUGAUUUCUUUUAUAGGA